rnacentral:rRNA from 1 species
UACAGAGGUCCCAAGCGUUGUUCGGAUUCACUGGGCGUAAAGGGUGCGUAGGUGGUGAGGUAAGUCGGAUGUGAAAUCUCCGGGCUCAACCCGGAAAUGGCAUUGGAAACUACCUUGCUGGAGGAUUUGAGGGGGGAUUGGAAUACUUGGUGUAGCAGUGAAAUGCGUAGAUAUCAAGUGGAACACCAGUGGCGAAGGCGAAUCCCUGGAAAACACCUGACACUGAGGCACGAAAGCUAGGGGAGCAAACAGG